rnacentral:lncRNA from 1 species
CUAGUUGUUUUAAGGUUUCAGGACUUACAUUCAAGUCUUAAUUCAUUUUUGAAUAGAUGUUUAUGUACUGUAUAAGGUACAGGUCCAGUUUCAUUCUUUUGCAUGUACCUAUACAGUUUUCCCCAUACCAUUUAUUAAAGAGACUAUUCUCUCCUUAUUGUAUAUUCUUGACUCCUUCGUUAAAAUAUUUGAACAUAUAUGCAUAGAUCUAUCUCUAGCUAUCUAUUUUGUUCCAUUGAUCUGUAUGUCUGUUUUUAUGCCCCCGUACCAUACUGUUUUGAUUAUUAUAACUUUGUAAUAUAGUAUGAAAGCAGAAAGUGUGACUCUAGCUUUGCUCUUCUUUUUCAAGAUUGCUUUGGUUAUUUUGGGGUCUUUUGUGAUUCUAUACAAAUUUUAGGACAGUUUUUAAUUUUUGUGAAAAAUGCCAUUGAAAUUUUGACAAGGAUUUUACUGAAUCUGGUAGUAGGGACAUGUUAACAAUAUUCAUUACUCUAAUACAGUAACACCAGAUGUCUUUCCCUUUAUUUGUGUUUUCUUCAAUUUCUUUCAUAAAUGUUUGUUUUUGUACAGAUCUUCUAUCUCCUAUGUUAACUGUGUUCUUAAGUAUUUUAUUUUUUAGAUAUGACCAUAAGUGGGAUUGGUUUCUUAAUUUCUCUUUGCAAUAGUUCAUUGUUAGUAUAUAGAAAUGCAGCUGAUUUUUGUAGAUUGUGCAUCCUACAACUUUAUCGAAUUAAUUGAUUAGUUCUAACAGUUUUUUGGUGGAGUCUGCAGUUUUCUAUAUAUCAUAUUAUACCAUCUGCAAGAGGAGGCAAUUUUACUUAUUCUUUUUCAAUUUAGAUGCCUUUUAUUUCAUUUUCUUGCCUAAUCACUGUGGCCAGAACUUCCCAUUUCCAAUACUAUAUUGAAUAAAGUGGUAAGAGUGGACAUUUCUUAUUCUUGAUCUUAAAAGUUUUUAUUUCUUCCCUUCCUUCUUUCCUCCUUCUCUCCUUCCCUUCCUCCUCUCUUCCUUUCUUUUUCCUUUCCUCUCCUUCUUCCUCAGGAUACUUUUUACAUUGCAAUAAAUCAUACAAUUUUAGCAGUGUAAAACAAGAAAGAAUGGAGGACGUACCCACCUUCCUAUCAUGUUUUAACUAUGUGUUUUCUUCCUAGGUAGCUCCAAUCUCUGGGUGAGAUACAAGACAGAAGGAAGAGAUCUCCUCAUGUUUGCUUACUCUUUGACCUCUGGAUUUCCUAGAGAGUUCAGCAAACACCCUUCUAUGGUCCUACGACAGACAGUGGGAAUGAAAGGCUGCUGUUGGAUCUGUUCUUGCUCUAAGGCAACAUCCUAGAAAGGCAGGUCUUGUCAGGAGAGAAGCAUAGUCCUGAGCCCCAAAUGGUGAUAUGAGUUGGUCCAGAGGUAGGGGGAAUGUUUUUUUUUCUACAGGAACCAGGGAAAAAGUCAGCUCUUACACCAGCAAGAAACCCUAAAUAUUGUCUAAACACCCACUCUGCAGAAUUCAGCUUGGAAAAAUAUAAUCAUAACUCUUUAGUGUCAUUCAACUAAAAGGCAACAUCUUGGUUACACAGAUGUACUCCAAGGGAAGGAGAAAAACAGAAGGCAUGAACAAGAGAAGAUAGAGAAGACAUUGAAAAGAAACAGGCCAAAAUGCAAAACAUAAAGUGGUUUCAACAGUUCUAGCCAGUGCUUCCUUUUGCCACUAUGUAUGAAGUUUGCUGUGGGUUUGUCAUAUGUGUUUUUAUUAUGUUGAAGUAUGUUCCUUCCACACCCAGUUAGUUAAUAGUUUUUAUCAUAAAAGAAGUUUGGAUUUUUGUGAAUGCUUUUUCUGCCUCUAUCAAGAUGAUCAUGAUUGCUAACUUUCAUUUUGUUAACAUUGAUUGAUUUGCAGACUCUGAACUGUCCUUGCAUCCCUCAAAUAAGUCCCACUUGAUCAUGACUUAUGAUCCUUUUAAUGCCCCAUUGAAUUCAGUUUGCUAAUAUUUUGUUGAGAAUUUUUGUGUCUAUGUUCAUCAGUAAUAUUGCCCUGUAAUUUUCAUUUCUUGUAGUGUCCUUGUUUGGUUUUGGUAUCAAGGUAAAGCUGGCCUCUUAAAAUGAGUUUAGAAGUGUUCCUUCCUCUUCUGUUUUUUGAAAGAGCUUGAGAAUAAUUGGUAUUGAUUCUUGUUUAAAUGUUUAGUAGAAUACACUAUUGAAGCUAUCUGGUCCUAGACUUUUCUUUAUUGGGAGGUUUUGAUUACUGGUUCAAUCUCCUUGCUAAUAACUGAUCUUUUCAGAUUUUCUGUUUCUUCAUGAUGCAGUCUUGGUAGGUUGCAUGUUUCUAGGAAUGUAUCCAUUCUUCUAGGUUAUCUAAUUUUUUGGCACAUAAUUGUUCACAGUAGUCUCUUAUGAUCUUUUGUAUUUCUGUGGCAUCAGUUAUACAUUCUCCUCUCAUUUCUGAUUUGGUUUGACUUUUCCCUCUUUGUAAAAUUAGUGUAGUUAAAGUAGUUGAAAGUUGUUAGUUUUGUUUAUCUUUUCAGAAAACUGGCUCUUAGUUUUAUUCAUUGAUGUUUUCUCUCUCUCUUUUAAACCUCUAUUUCAUUUAUUUCCAAUUUGAUCUUUGUUAUUUCUUUUCUUCUACUUAUCUUGGGCUAAAAGAAUUUUGUUCUUUUUCUAAUACUUUGAUGUGUAAUGUUGUUUUUUUUAUCUCUCUUUCUCUCUUUUUAUUAUGGCAUUUCUUUCUAUAAACUUUCCUCUUUUUUUUUAAGAGAGGGAGAGAGAGAGAAUCCUAAGCAGGCUUCAUGUGAGGGCUCCAUUUCACAAUCCUGAGAUCAUGACCUGAGCCAAAAUCAAGAUUUGGACAUUUAGCCAACUGAGCUAGCUAUCCAGGCGCCCUUCUAUAAACUUUUCUCUUAGAACUGCUUUUGCUGCAUCCUAUGUUUUGUUACAUUGUGAUUCCAUUUUCAUUUGUCUCAGAAUAUGCUUUGAUCUCUCUAUUGAUUUAUUCUUUCCCCCACUGAUCACUCAGUAACAUAUUUAAUCUCCACAUAUUUGUGAAUUUUUCAGUUUUCUUGUUAUAACUGAUUUCUUAUUUCUACCAUUGUGGUCAGAAAAGAUACUUGAUAUGAUUUUUUAAAAAAUAUUUUAUUUAUUUAUUCAUGAAAGACAGAGAGAGAGAGGUAAAGACACAGGCAGAGGGAGAAGCAGGCUCCAUGCAGGGAGCCUGAUGCGGGACUCGAUCCAGGGUCUCCAGGACCACGCCCUGAGCCGAAGGCAGACACUCAACAGCUAAGCCACCCACGCAUCCCACUUGAUAUGAUUUUAGUCUUCAUAAAUUCAUUAAGACUUGUUCUGUGGCCCAACAUAUGACUAUCUUCAUGAAGGUUCCAUGCUCACUUAAGAAGAAUAUGUAUUCUACUGCUGUUGAUAAAUGUUAUGUAUUUUUUAGGUUCUUUGCUUCAUUACUGAUUUUCUGUCUGUAUAAUCUAUCCAUUCUUGAAAGCAGUGUAUUGAACUCAUCUAUUAUUGCUAUCUAUUUCUUCUUUUAGGUCUAUUAAUAUUGCUUAAUAUAUUAAGGUAUGCCAAUGUUAUGUGCAUAAAUAUUUACAACUGUUAAACCCUCUUGAUGACCUAUUUUAUCAUUAUAUACUGACCUUCUUUGUCUUGAUAACAGUAUUUGGCUCAGGGUCUAUCUUGUCUGUUAUGAGUAUAGUUACCUGGCUUUCUUUUGGUUUCUAUUGCACGUAGGAUCUUUAUUCAUCCUUUCACUUUUAGUAUUCAUGUGUUGUUAAAGCUAAGGUGAGUCUCUUGUAGGCCAUAUAUAAUUGGGUCUUGUUUUUUUAAAUCCAUGUUUUUAUCUUGUAUCCUUUUUAUCUUGAUUUUUAUCUACUCUGGCUUUUGAUUACAGAAUUUAGUCCUUUUACAUUUAAAAUAAUUAUUGAAAGGCAUGGACUUACUAUUAACAUUUUGUUGUUUUCUGGCCAUUUUGCAGCUCCUUUGUUCCUUCCAUUCUUGUUGUCUUCCAUUUUGAUUUAAUGAUUUUCUGUAAUAGUAGAUUUUGUUUUCUUUCUCUUUAUCUAUUUUGUAUCAAGUUUUUGGCCUUGUGGUUACCUUGAGGCUUACAUAAAACAUCUUACAGUUAAAAAAAACUAUUUUAAAGUGGUAACAAUUUAACUUUGAAUAUUUAUAGAAGCUCUAUAUUUUUAUAUUUCUUGUCCACAUUUUAUGUUUUUGGUGUUACAAAUUAUAUAUUUUUAUAUUGUGUAAUUAACAAAUUAUUUAGUUUAUAACACUUUUGUCUUUUUAAACUUUAUGUUAGAGUUAUAAUUGAUUUAACCAUAACCAUUACAUUAUUAGAGUAUUCUAGAUUUAACUAUAUUUUAACUACAUAUUUAACUAUAUCAGUGAAUUUUACACUAUCAUAUGUUUUAAAAUGAUUAAUUAUCAUCCUUUCAUUUCAGCUUAAAGAACUCCCUUUAACAUUUCUUAUAAGGCUGGUCUAGGGGUGAUGAACUCCUUUAUCUUUUAUUUGUCAGGAAAACUCAUUAUAACUCCUUCAACUCUGACGGACAACUUUGUUGGGAAGAGUAUUCAUGGUUGGCAGUUAUUUUUAAUUUCAGCACUUUGAAUAUAUUAUCCCACUCCCUUCUGUUCUGCAAAAUUUCUCCUGAAAAACCUGCUCAUAGUCUUACCAGAGUCUUUUGUAUGUAAUAAUUUGCUUUUUUCAUACUGCUUUUAAGAUUCUCUUUAUCUUUAACUUUUGACAAUUUAAAUACAAUGUGUCUCCAUGUGGAUCUCUUAGAUUCUUCUUUGGUACUCUUUGUGCUUCCUAGAUCUGGAUAUAUACUUCUUUUCUCAGGUUAGGGAAGUUUUCAGUCAUUAUUUCUUUGAUUAUACUUUCUUCCCCCUUGUCUCUCAUUUUCUUCUAGGAUGCCCUGUAAUGUGUAUUGGCUUGUUGUUCCCUUAAGUUACCUCACUCUUUUUUGUAAUUUUUUCUUUUUGCUCCUCUGAUUGGAUUAAUUCCACUGCCUUACCUCUGAAUUUAUGGAUUCUUUCUUCCACUUGAUCUAGUCUGCUGUUAAACUCCUUUAUUGAAUUUCCUAGUUCAGAGAUUGUAUUCUUCACCUCUGUAAUUUCUGUUUGGUGCUUUUUAAUAUUUUCUACCUCUGUUGAAAUUUACACUUCAUUCCUCCAUUACUCUUCUGACCUCUGUGAGCAUAUUUAUAACUAUUAUUUUGAACUUUAUUAGCUCAAUUACUUAUCUAUUUCAUUAAGAUUAGUUUCUGAUUUAUAUUGUUCCUUUGUUUGGAACACAGUCUUAUUUCUUCAUUUUCUUUACUGUCUCUGUUGGUUUCUGUGCAUUAUAUAAAAUAGCCACCAUUCCCAGUUUUCAGAGAGUGGUCUUGUGUAGAAGAUGAACCUUGUCAAUCAACCUGGCCCAAGUUCCUGGUUGUCUCUCAAACUCUUACGAUUAUCCAAGCCACCUUCUUCAUUCUUAGUGGCUCCUAGUCGUUGAGGGUGUGCCAAGGUCCAUCAGUGUUCCAAGGGAAGUAUCCAGUUGGCAAGCAACUGCAGGCUGAUUAGAAGCCAGACAGCAGCUGGGAAAUUAUGCAGUAAGCCUCUUCCAGGGAAAUACUAGAAGAUGGGUGUUUUUAUCUUCUCCCUCUGUGUUGAGCCUGUACUAAAAAAAAAAAAAAAAAAAAA